rnacentral:antisense_RNA from 1 species
AAUAACCGAAUAUAACGCUUGGACUAAGGGUCAAGUUGGUAAUUUUUCUUACAUCUCCCCCCCCGGGAGCCCAGGUAUCAUAUACGCCCCCAAAAUAAAUAGCCUUGAGUACUAGAAGAAAAGCACCUAUACCUAAUAAAAUUAGGUGAAUACCCAAAAUUGUAGUCAUUUUAUUUCUAUCUUUCCA